UUAAGCGACUAAGCGUACACGGUGGAUGCCCUGGCAGUCAGAGGCGAUGAAGGACGUGCUAAUCUGCGAUAAGCGUCGGUAAGGUGAUAUGAACCGUUAUAACCGGCGAUUUCCGAAUGGGGAAACCCAGUGUGUUUCGACACACUAUCAUUAACUGAAUCCAUAGGUUAAUGAGGCGAACCGGGGGAACUGAAACAUCUAAGUACCCCGAGGAAAAGAAAUCAACCGAGAUUCCCCCAGUAGCGGCGAGCGAACGGGGAGCAGCCCAGAGCCUGAAUCAGUGUGUGUGUUAGUGGAAGCGUCUGGAAAGGCGCGCGAUACAGGGUGACAGCCCCGUACACAAAAAUGCACAUGCUGUGAGCUCGAUGAGUAGGGCGGGACACGUGGUAUCCUGUCUGAAUAUGGGGGGACCAUCCUCCAAGGCUAAAUACUCCUGACUGACCGAUAGUGAACCAGUACCGUGAGGGAAAGGCGAAAAGAACCCCGGCGAGGGGAGUGAAAAAGAACCUGAAACCGUGUACGUACAAGCAGUGGGAGCACGCUUAGGCGUGUGACUGCGUACCUUUUGUAUAAUGGGUCAGCGACUUAUAUUCUGUAGCAAGGUUAACCGAAUAGGGGAGCCGAAGGGAAACCGAGUCUUAACUGGGCGUUAAGUUGCAGGGUAUAGACCCGAAACCCGGUGAUCUAGCCAUGGGCAGGUUGAAGGUUGGGUAACACUAACUGGAGGACCGAACCGACUAAUGUUGAAAAAUUAGCGGAUGACUUGUGGCUGGGGGUGAAAGGCCAAUCAAACCGGGAGAUAGCUGGUUCUCCCCGAAAGCUAUUUAGGUAGCGCCUCGUGAAUUCAUCUCCGGGGGUAGAGCACUGUUUCGGCAAGGGGGUCAUCCCGACUUACCAACCCGAUGCAAACUGCGAAUACCGGAGAAUGUUAUCACGGGAGACACACGGCGGGUGCUAACGUCCGUCGUGAAGAGGGAAACAACCCAGACCGCCAGCUAAGGUCCCAAAGUCAUGGUUAAGUGGGAAACGAUGUGGGAAGGCCCAGACAGCCAGGAUGUUGGCUUAGAAGCAGCCAUCAUUUAAAGAAAGCGUAAUAGCUCACUGGUCGAGUCGGCCUGCGCGGAAGAUGUAACGGGGCUAAACCAUGCACCGAAGCUGCGGCAGCGACNNNNNNNNNNNNNNNNNNNNNNNGAAGGUGUGCUGUGAGGCAUGCUGGAGGUAUCAGAAGUGCGAAUGCUGACAUAAGUAACGAUAAAGCGGGUGAAAAGCCCGCUCGCCGGAAGACCAAGGGUUCCUGUCCAACGUUAAUCGGGGCAGGGUGAGUCGACCCCUAAGGCGAGGCCGAAAGGCGUAGUCGAUGGGAAACAGGUUAAUAUUCCUGUACUUGGUGUUACUGCGAAGGGGGGACGGAGAAGGCUAUGUUGGCCGGGCGACGGUUGUCCCGGUUUAAGCGUGUAGGCUGGUUUUCCAGGCAAAUCCGGAAAAUCAAGGCUGAGGCGUGAUGACGAGGCACUACGGUGCUGAAGCAACAAAUGCCCUGCUUCCAGGAAAAGCCUCUAAGCAUCAGGUAACAUCAAAUCGUACCCCAAACCGACACAGGUGGUCAGGUAGAGAAUACCAAGGCGCUUGAGAGAACUCGGGUGAAGGAACUAGGCAAAAUGGUGCCGUAACUUCGGGAGAAGGCACGCUGAUAUGUAGGUGANGCGAAGCUCUUGAUCGAAGCCCCGGUAAACGGCGGCCGUAACUAUAACGGUCCUAAGGUAGCGAAAUUCCUUGUCGGGUAAGUUCCGACCUGCACGAAUGGCGUAAUGAUGGCCAGGCUGUCUCCACCCGAGACUCAGUGAAAUUGAACUCGCUGUGAAGAUGCAGUGUACCCGCGGCAAGACGGAAAGACCCCGUGAACCUUUACUAUAGCUUGACACUGAACAUUGAGCCUUGAUGUGUAGGAUAGGUGGGAGGCUUAGAAGUGUGGACGCCAGUCUGCAUGGAGCCGACCUUGAAAUACCACCCUUUAAUGUUUGAUGUUCUAACGUUGACCCGUAAUCCGGGUUGCGGACAGUGUCUGGUGGGUAGUUUGACUGGGGCGGUCUCCUCCUAAAGAGUAACGGAGGAGCACGAAGGUUGGCUAAUCCUGGUCGGACAUCAGGAGGUUAGUGCAAUGGCAUAAGCCAGCUUGACUGCGAGCGUGACGGCGCGAGCAGGUGCGAAAGCAGGUCAUAGUGAUCCGGUGGUUCUGAAUGGAAGGGCCAUCGCUCAACGGAUAAAAGGUACUCCGGGGAUAACAGGCUGAUACCGCCCAAGAGUUCAUAUCGACGGCGGUGUUUGGCACCUCGAUGUCGGCUCAUCACAUCCUGGGGCUGAAGUAGGUCCCAAGGGUAUGGCUGUUCGCCAUUUAAAGUGGUACGCGAGCUGGGUUUAGAACGUCGUGAGACAGUUCGGUCCCUAUCUGCCGUGGGCGCUGGAGAACUGAGGGGGGCUGCUCCUAGUACGAGAGGACCGGAGUGGACGCAUCACUGGUGUUCGGGUUGUCAUGCCAAUGGCACUGCCCGGUAGCUAAAUGCGGAAGAGAUAAGUGCUGAAAGCAUCUAAGCACGAAACUUGCCCCGAGAUGAGUUCUCCCUGACNNNNNNNNNNNNNGUCCUGAAGGAACGUUGAAGACGACGACGUUGAUAGGCCGGGUGUGUAAGCGCAGCGAUGCGUUGAGCUAACCGGUACUAAUGAACCGUGAGGCUUAACCUU
rnacentral:rRNA from 1 species